rnacentral:rRNA from 1 species
AUUGAACGCUAGCGGGAUGCCUUACACAUGCAAGUCGAACGGAGUGGCGAACGGGUGAGUAAUGUAUCGGAACGUGCCCCGUAGCGGGGGAUAACUACGCGAAAGCGUAGCUAAUACCGCAUACCAUUGGAGCGGCCGAUAUCGUCUUAUCUAGUGGUUGGGGUAACGGCUCACCAAGGCGACGAUCCGGAGCUGGUUUGAGAGGGCGACCAGCCAACCUGUGCCUGAGCCACGGCCCAGACUCCUACGUGAGGUAGCAGUGGGGAAUUUUGGACAAUGGGGGAAACCCUGAUCCAGCCAUCCCGCGUGGUCGAUGAAGGCCUUCGGGUUUUAAAGCACUGUGUGCAGGAAAGCGGUACCUGAAGAAUAAGCACCGGCUAACUACGUGCCAGCAGCCGCGGUAAUUC